rnacentral:sRNA from 1 species
ACCAGGCACGUGGCAUGUGCCUGUGGUCCCAGCUACUCAGGAAGCUCAGGCGGAGGGAUCACUUGAGCCUAGGAGUUUGAGACCAGCCAGGGCAACACAGUGAGACUCUGUCUU